ACUCAAAUGAAUUGACGGGGACCCGCACAAGUGGUGGAGCAUGUGGUUUAAUUCGACGAUAAGCGAGGAACCUUACCAAGGCUUGACAUGUACCUGCAAGAUCCAGAAAUGGAUCCGCCUUCGAGGGUGGUACACAGGUGCUGCACGGUUGUCGUCAGCUCGUGCCGUGAGGUGUUCACUUAAGUGUGAAAACGAGCGCAACCCCUAUCAUCAGUUACAAGUGUCUGAUGAAACUGCCGGCGUUUAAGCCGGAGGAAGGUGGGGAUGACGUCAAAUCAGCGUGGCUCUUACGCCUUGGGCGACACACGUGCUACAAUGGAUAGGUACAGAAGGACGCCAAAGAGUAAUCUGGAGCAAAUCCCAAAAAACUAUCCCCAGUUCGGAUUGAGGGCUGCAACUCGCCCUCAUGAAGCCGGAAUCACUAGUAACCGUAGAUCAGCCUCGCUACGGUGAAUACGUUCUCGGGUUUUGUACACACCGCCCGU
rnacentral:rRNA from 1 species